GAUGAACGCUGGCGGUGUGCCUAAUACAUGCAAGUCGAGCGACAAGACGAGGAGCUUGCUCCCCUGCCGUUAGCGGGGGGCGGGUGGGUAACGAGUGGAUCACCUUCUUCUUUUUCUGGGAUAACUACGGGAAGCCGGAGACACUAAUGGAUAAUAUAUUGUACGGCUUGGUUCAAUAGUUAAUGAGGGCUUUGGUGAUAGUAUUAGAUGGAUCCGCGCCGGAUUAGCUAGUUGGUAAGGUAACGGCUUACCAAGGCGACGAUGCGUAGCCGACCUGAGAGGGUGAUCAGCCACACUGGAACUGAGACACGGUCCAGACUCCUACGGGAGGCAGCAGUAGGGAAUCUUCCGCAAUGGGCGAAAGCCUGACGCAGCAACACCGCGUGAGUGAUGAAGGUCUUCGGAUCGUAAAGCUCUUUUAUUAGGGAAGAACAAAUGUAUAAUAAACUAUGCCCGUCUUGACGGUACCUAAUCAAAAAGCCACGGCUAACUACGUG
rnacentral:rRNA from 1 species